GACGAACGCUGGCGGCGUGCCUAAUACAUGCAAGUUGAGCGAUGAAGAUCUGUGCUUGCGCCAAUUUGGAGAGCAGCGAACGGGUGAGUAACGCGCGGGAAAUCUGCCUUUGAUCGGGGUACAACCUGUGGAAACGAAUGAUAAUACCGCAUAAUAACUUUAAACAUAAGUUUUAAGUUUGAAAGAUGCAAGUGCGUCACUCAAAGAUGAUCCCGCGUUGUAUUAGCUAGUUGGUGAGGUAAAGGCUCACCAAGGCGAUGAUACAUAGCCGAACUGAGCGGGUGAUCGGCCACCCUGGGAGGGAGACAGGCCACAAACGGCUACGGGAAGCAGCAGGAGUGAAUCUUGGGCAAGGGACGAGAGUCAGUCCGAGAUAGGCGGAGUGAGGGAAGAGGGUUGUCGGGUCGUAAAACUCGGUCGGCAGGGAAGAACGCUGGUGCGCGUGGAAAGAUCAGCAAGUGACGGUAACUACUCAGAAAGGGACGGCUAACUACGUG
rnacentral:rRNA from 1 species